GCCUCGGUAGCUCAGUGGUUAGAGCGGGCGUCUCAUAAGCGCCAGGUCGUGGGUUCGAAUCCCACCCGAGGCA
rnacentral:tRNA from 1 species